GGCGGAGUAGCUCAGUUGGUUAGAGCGCGGGAAUCAUAAUCCUGAGGUCGGCAGUUCGAGUCUGCCCUUCGCUACCA
rnacentral:tRNA from 1 species